rnacentral:rRNA from 1 species
UACGGGGGGGGCAAGCGUUGUUCGGAAUUACUGGGCGUAAAGGGUUCGUAGGCGGCCAAGUAAGUCAGACGUGAAAUCCCCAGGCUCAACCUGGGAACUGCGUCUGAUACUGGAUGGCUUGAAUUCGGGAGAGGGAUGCAGAAUUCCAGGUGUAGCGGUGAAAUGCGUAGAUAUCUGGAGGAAUACCGGUGGCGAAGGCGGGUCUCUGGGCAGUAACUGACGCUGAGGAGCGAAAGCGUGGGGAGCGAACAGG